rnacentral:rRNA from 1 species
UACGAGGGGGGCGAGCGUUGUUCGGAAUUCUUGGGCGUAAAGGGUGCGUAGGCGGUUUGGUAAGUCUUAUGUGAAAUCUACAGGCUCAACUUGUAGUCUGCAUGAGAAACUGCCGGGCUUGAGUAUGGGAGAGGUGAGUGGAAUUCCUGGUGUAGCGGUGAAAUGCGUAGAUAUCAGGAGGAACACCUGUGGCGAAAGCGGCUCACUGGACCAUAACUGACGCUGAUGCACGAAAGCUAGGGGAGCAAACAGG